UACGUAGGUGGCAAGCGUUGUCCGGAUUUACUGGGUGUAAAGGGCGUGUAGCCGGGAAGGCAAGUCAGAUGUGAAAUCCGGAGGCUCAACCUCCGAAUUGCAUUUGAAACUGUUUUUCUUGAGUACUGGAGAGGCAGACGGAAUUCCUUGUGUAGCGGUGAAAUGCGUAGAUAUAAGGAGGAACACCAGUGGCGAAGGCGGUCUGCUGGACAGCAACUGACGGUGAGGCGCGAAAGCGUGGGGAGCAAACGGG
rnacentral:rRNA from 1 species